CUAUGCGCCUUGCCAGCCCGCUCAGGUGUGCCAGCCGCCGCGGUAAUACGUAGGGAGCGAGCGUUGUCCGGAAUUACUGGGUGUAAAGGGAGCGUAGGCGGGGAUGCAAGUUGGGUGUCAAAACUACCGGCUCAACUGGUAGUCGCACUCAAAAACUGCAGCUCUUGAGUGAAGUAGAGGCAGGCGGAAUUCCUAGUGUAGCGGUGAAAUGCGUAGAUAUUAGGAGGAACACCAGUGACGAAGGCGGCCUGCUGGACUGCAACUGACGUUGAGGCCCGAAAGCGUGGGAGCAACAGG
rnacentral:rRNA from 1 species